AUAAAUCUUCAGUUAUUACUUUGGUGAGAGAUCUAAGGUACAAACUGACCUGGGGAGAUGGGGCUUUAAAAAAAUACCAGCUCUUGUCAUUUCAUCACAAGUCCCACAAGAGCUGGCAACACUAUCGUUGCAAGAUGAAAGAAAAACUGAACUAACUCACUGGACUCUGGUCCUGGAAACCCUUGGCUGUCUUUGCUCAGAUCAGUGGCCUUCAGAAGGGUGGAGGGACUGUGGAAGUCUGGAAGGACAGGUUGAAUGGUGACCUCUGGGAGGAUGGCUGCUUUGACAAAUGCAGCUUUUUCACUCUAGUGCAGAUCUCUCUGGAAGCGACUCAGUGGGAAGCUCCAUUCUUAAGAUACAGUGCUGGGAACAAAGGCACCCAAACCUUGGACUGUUUGCAAGAGGAAACAGAUACAAUUUGUGCCAGAGGUUUGGCAGCUGGGUUUACUCAGAGCUUCAGGGACUGCCUUUCGUGAUUAGGGGACAUUCAGUCUCCAUGGACCAUUCGGUACUUGGCCUCUCAGUUGAGACUGCCAGCAAGGAAAUUGUGCCAGUCCCUGGACAGUGAGGUUGUUGGAGGCACGGGAACGUGGGAUGAGGCAUGGGGAAUAGACUGAAGCAGUCAAGGUGCAGCUGUGAGGAAGAGGCGGCCUGCUGAGCCCAGCUGGGAUAAAGGACCCUGGACACACUGGAACUCAAGACACCACCAGGAUCACAGGACAUGAAGGGACAGGGAACAUGAACAUCAGGAUACUCAGGACAGGAUCAGAUAAGCAAUCUUCUAUUGUCUUCCGUCUCAACUUGACAUGCCGUCUCAGCAGGGAAUAGACCUUAGUACUGGGCUGCCUCUAUGAUGGACAGCUGCCAUCACAGGGCGCCGUAACCUUUUAUCACCUUUAGUUGCUGGGCAGGAUUCUCUAGGACACCUGACCCUUUCCCGCCCAAAUGUACAAAAUGAGCCAAUACUUCCUGCCAAAGUGCUGCUGCUAGGCAGUUUAUAGACAAAGGGAGAACAAGAAGGGGGAAUGCAAUAUGGAGGGUGAAGUACAACUCAAGGAAACCAAGGUGGCGAACUGAAAUUUCCUUAGUAAAAUUAAAAAUUGUAGAUGUAACCUAGCAGGGGAUUAGGGAGGAUGAAUAAGUGGUGGUGCGUUUAUAUGGGGAAAUAUAUAAGAAAAAAGGAAAACACUGACUGAGGUUAAUUAGUCUUUUACAAUUCCUUGUGACUAGUCUAUCUAAUGUUGAACCGUCUUAAGAGGCACAGAUGCAAAGGAUUCUUGAACAUUCAAAACAGUCACCUUCAGCUGGCAAAGACUAGGGAAAAGGUGGCUGCCUGGGAGGAGACAAGAAAUGCUCCUCUAUCAUCAAUUUGUAUAAUGCUAGUGUCCAGAGGCUCCAAACAGCAUUGGAACCUCAUUGUGCUGGAGCCUCAGGAUGGAGGCCAGAGGCCUGGAGCGGACAAAGAUUUUGAGUGUGCCCAUGCUCCCGCAAUGAAAAACUAAACACUUACUCUUCUUAAACACGCCUGGCCUUUUUGGACUCUGUUAUCCUGCUUUGGGGAAUAAAGUCAUCACACAACAAAGUCAGGGAAAAAUCCCUCAGUAUUGCAUAUUUGGAGAGAACUCAUUACCACAAGAUAUCACUGAGGCCAAGAGCUAAGCAGGAUAAAGGAAGAAAGCUUGGACCAAAAUAUGGACAACAGCAACAUCGACAAUUACAUGAGAAGGAAUAUAAAUCCUCUUACUUCAUGACCUGCCAUUGGGACUUCUGCUCUUCUCUUCCCUCUCUGAAUUGCCUCCUCUCCACUUAGACAGUGGAGAUCAAUCAACUCUAUGGAACCUGACUGUGAAGCCAGAAGUGCGACGGUCCUGUCCCUCCUUGGGUGUUGGUGACGAGAGGACGUAGGAACAAUCACUUUGGUACACACACACCUUGCUGCCAGUGACA